rnacentral:lncRNA from 1 species
CCAAACAGCGCCAGCCCUGCACACUAACAGCUGCAAAAGCCCUCCACUAUGGCCAGGGCUCACAAAGGACCCAGGGAAACGCGAGACAAAAUGUCCACUGGAGAGACCCCAGGAACAAGCACAGCCCAGUCAUGGGGAUGGAUCCGAGUCUGCUAAGUUAGGUCCCAUCUUCUCCCCAUUCACAAAGGACCGGAAGGAACUGCCAGAAGGGCAACCACCAACACCCAACAGCUGUCACAGGGCUCCUGCGGGGCCUCGGCUUCCACCCAACAAACGAUAGGCGCCCCCAGGGACAGGGGCAGGUGCUGGUGGCCCAAUGUCCCUGUGGGUCCAGCUGCCGUGGCACUCGAUGGUGCAUGCAGUUGGACUCAGUUCCCUUGCCAGACAGAGACCCCAAGCCCCAAGCGGGGGUGGACAGCAGCUGAGCCAGCCCCAAGGCAGGGACCCCCCUGCAUGGACACAAGAGAGCAGGGCCAGGCUCCCACCCCCUCAUAGGCCUCUGGAGAAGCCAGGGCUUCAUUCAGCAGGCUGCACGGACAGUGCAUGGGGAAAACAGAGCUGACCAAAACCUGCCAUGCCGAGAGCCUCAGACACAGGGGGCCUGCUCACCCGUGCCUCGCUGGCUGGAGUGGAGGGAGGCUCAGGCCUCAGCACAACCCAGCCCCCCCUAGCGACAUCCGACCUCAUGGGGGGCAGGUCAGGGCCAAAUAGGAAGCUGCAGGAACCCAAAAGAUUAACUCAAAACCGAAGUCCCAGCACCACCAGCUGGCCCUGGCGACCCCACCCCCCCCUCUCAGAGGGCAGUCCUGGGAUGCUGGAAGGUGGCACCGCCCCACCCCCCCAAACAGAUCCCCCCUCCGCGACCUGACGCCCCACUCCGGCACUGUCCCCU